UGCAGAUCUAGGUUUAUCAAUACCCAAUUUCUGCACUUACGUUUGGAUUUUCUGAUAGCAUUUCACCAUGACACUUGAAUGAGGCAAGUUCUAUUUUGGAUUUACUCAAAUAAAAACUCAAUUUGAUCUUGAUCUAAGAUUCUGUGUUGUAGCACAUAGGGUUGAAAUCAAGAUCUACGUAUAAAGAAGAUGGGCGCGGAAUAGCGAUUUCAGCUCGGAAUGAUCAGACAUUAGGUUCAACUUCUGACAAGUAGAUGGUGAAUGGGGAAGCUUGCAUUGGAAUCUUUGCAAUUAGGGAUAUAAGAUGAUGGCGAUUUGAUGAAUGUGCGAGCAAAGGGGAUACAUCAGCUCUGUUAAAGAACGGUACAGAGUUCGACGACCGGAGAUCAUUCUCCAGAGAGACGACAGCGGUGUUAUCUACAGCUUGUUCCAUUGCCGAUUUGAGAUCCAACGUCAAUAGGGAUUUCAAGUGUGGGUCUUUGAAAAAUAUGGCUAUUGUUGAUUUAAGGAGAAUGUAAAGCAGACAAAUUGGUGAAACUAAUUGGAGUUUUUGUAUUGGUGUUGGAAAUAUGAUGGAUUUAAUGAGAUGGUGUGUAAAUGCCUCGAAGCGCUUUGUGCUUUUUGAACCAAGGUUGGUAUUUGAGGGAGGGCAAACGACAAACGUGGAAAAAGAUACAAGUAAGAACAAAAAGGAGAAGUUGGUUAAAGCUACAAAGAAAGGUGCAUCAAUAUUAGAUCAAUGGAUACAUGAUCAUGUUAAGUCUUAUUACCAUGUACUGCAACAGGUAAUAUUUAUAUUUACAAUGGCACUAGAAAUUAAGUUUUAUCAGUCUUGUGUCCACCCUAUAUGUAUUUUGUUUACAUUAACUUUAAAUGCAGGUGAUGAUAUUGAUGAUGCCACAUUAAUUUAGACAAAUGUUGGGUCUAACAAUAGCAAGUUUUAUAUAAUACAAGUAGGGGUGCAAACGGGCCGAGUUUA